rnacentral:rRNA from 1 species
GAUGAACGCUGGCGGCGUGCCUAAUACAUGCAAGUCGAGCGAACAGACGAGGAGCUUGCUCCUCUGACGUUAGCGGCGGACGGGUGAGUAACACGUGGAUAACCUACCUAUAAGACUGGGAUAACUUCGGGAAACCGGAGCUAAUACCGGAUAAUAUAUUGAACCGCAUGGUUCAAUAGUGAAAGACGGUUUUGCUGUAACUUAUAGAUGGAUCCGCGCCGCAUUGGCUAGUGGGUAAGGUAACGGCUUACCACGGGAACGAUGCGUAGACGACAUGAGGGGGUGAUCGGCCACACUGGAACUGAGACGCGGUCCAGACUCCUAGGGGAGGCAGCAGUAGGGAAUCUUCCGCAAGGGGCGAAAGCCUGACGGAACAACGCCGAGUGAGUGAUGAAGGUCUUCGGAUCGUAAAACUCUGUUAUUAGGGAAGAACAAAUGUGUAAGUAACUAUGCACGUCUUGACGGUACCUAAUCAGAAAGCCACGGCUAACUACGUG